rnacentral:tRNA from 1 species
GGGGUUGUGGCUUAGUGGUAGAGCACUCACCUAGCAUGUGUGAGGCACUGGAUUCAACCCCC